UUUUCGUUAAGCUAUUAAAAUUCCCUUUAACCAUUAUGCAUUUAUUUAGUUAGAGCAAAUAUGUUCGGGUAAUAAGCUGAAUAAUUUCGAGUAAAAGUUCGACUGACACAUUAGAGCUGUCAGUGCUGCAUUGCUGCUGAAGGCCAUCCGCUGUGUAUGCAUGCGCCAGACUGCGGUUCAGUCGGCGACCCGCGCUAAAGCAGCGCGGGAAAGUGACAUUACACGUGACCGGAGAUUUUGCGUCCCCACCGCGACCAUCCCCUCCCCCCCACACACACACACCUGCGACACAGCAGGACGGGGUCAGAGAGGAUGCUGUGAGUAAAGGCGCGAAGACGUCAACAUGUCUGAAGGACAGGACGAUAAAAGUGACAAAUACUCUGGAUGCACAGAAUUUGCAGUGGAUGAGGUGACAGCUUGUGCUAAAGAAGAGACAAAGCUACUGUCAAAGUCUGGUGAGUGAAAUUGCCAAUGGUGGAUGAACCUGGGUGGAAACAGAAUAAAUGUUUAGAGGUGGAGAGUGCUUCUGUGGCCAUACUGAAAGCUUUGAAGGAUUGGUUAGCGAAAUGAACAAAUGUGUUGACAAUAACAGGUAAGUAGCAAUGGGUAAGUGCAGAGUAAUUGCUUAUAAAGGAAACUGAUGAGGGGUGUAAUUAAUCAGUUAUUAGGGGACUGUGGUCAGGUGUACUGGGAUUCAGGUUGGGGAGGUGGCUGUGACAACGGUCUGAUAUUGGUAUUUAGGAGUUAUUAUUGAAAAAUCUUGUGCUUAAAGAAAGGUAUUGUUUUUCAGAGAAAUCAAAGAAGUCUGCUGAGAUUGGACAACACCAAGAACCAUCCAAAGGAGGCAAGAAUCAUAAAAACUGCAGCCGACUAGCAAGGACUUGCCGGAACCGCACAGAACAAAAAGAUCUUCACAAAACGAGCGAAGAAGGUGGUCUUUGGAGGAGAUCAAGGCCGUGGAGAAGACAAUGAUGGAAUUCAUAAUGUCUGGAAAGGUUCCUGGUAAAGCCCAGUGCAUGAACUGUAUCGAAAGUUCCCCAGCAGCACUUCAAAUUAGAAGUUGGGAGGGGGUGAAAUUUUAUGUUAAAAAUCGCAUUGAUUCCCUAAAGAAAAAAUUGUGAAAGGUAAGGACCUUCAUCUAAUUAUUUUUUUCGUGUCUGCUGGAAGAAAGAAAAUAUAUUACUUAAAAAAAUGUGAAAGGUAGGUGAAAGGGCCUUCACCACUGUUUUUUUUUCAUGAUUGUUGAAAGCAACAAGUUUGAUUUCAUUAAAGCAAAAAAAUGUAAAACGGCCUUCACCAGUUUUGUCUUUGUUAAAGGCAACAUGUAUGUGAAUCUUGUUUAAGCAAACUCAACAUGCAUCUGCUUAAAGAGCAGUAUACUAAAACUUUCAUAUUAACAUUUAAAUAAAUGUUUAAAACACUAAAACA